GAUGAAGAACGUAGCGAAAUGCGAUAAGUAAUGUGAAUUGCAGAAUUCAGUGAAUCUUCGAAUCUUUGAACGCACAUUGCGCCCCUUGGUAUUCCAUGGGGCAUGCCUGUUCGAGCGUCAUUUGUACCUUCAAGCAUUGCUUGGUGUUGGGUGUUUGUCCUGUAGGACUCGCCUUAAAGUUAUUGGCAGCCAGUAUUUUGGCUUGAAGCGCAGCACAAGUCGCGAUUCAAGUUUAAAUAGUAGCUCCCAGCAAGACAUUUAUCACUUUUGACCUCGGAUCAGGUAGGGAUACCCGCUGAACUUAAGCAUAUCAAUAAGCGGAGGA
rnacentral:misc_RNA from 1 species